UAAGGAAUAUUGCUCAAUGGGAGAAAUCCUGAAGCAGCAACGCCGCGUGGAGGAUGAAGGGUCUAUGACUUGUAAACUCCUGUAAAGAAGGAAAAAAUUCCCAUUAGAUGGGAGAUGAUGGUACUUCUGGAGUAAGCCCCGGCUAACUACGUGCCAGCAGCCGCGGUAAUACGUAGGGGGCAAGCGUUGUCCGGAUUUACUGGGUGUAAAGGGUGCUCAGGCGGAUUUGUAAGUCAGAGGUGAAAUCUUACAGCUUAACUGUGAAACUGCCUUUGAUACUGCAAGCCUAGAGUAUGGAAGAGAGUGAUGAAAUAUCUGGUGUAGCAGUGAAAUGCGUAGAUAUCAGAUAGAACACCAAUGGCGAAGGCAGUCACUUGGUCCAUUACUGACGCUAAAGCACGAAAGCGUGGGUAGCAAACA
rnacentral:rRNA from 1 species